CAGCAUGGCUGGGGAGGCCUCAGGAAACUUACAAUCAUGGCGGAAGGCAAAGGGAAAGCAAGGGACCUUCUCCACAAGGCAGCAAGGAGAGGUGCUGAGCAAUGGGAAGAGCCCCUUAUAAAGCCAUCAGAUCUCGUGAGAACUCACUAUCACGAGAACAGCAUGGGGAAAACCGCCCCCAUGAUUCAAUGACCUCCAUCUGGUCUCCCCCUUGACACGUGGGGAUUAUGGGGAUUACAAUUCCAGACGAGAUUUGGGUGGGGACACAAAACCUAACAGAUCACUUGCUUAAGGGAAGCUUUGUCUACUCUAAACCAGAUUGCAGAGGUCUUUUGUUUGUCCCCCUUGGGGUUUUCCACCAAGGGGCCCUGGGCCUUUGGGUUGAGCUGGGUGGGCCUUUCCCUGUACAGGCGGAGGAAGCAAGUGCAAGGUGAGCGGUGGGAGAACCUGCAAGGCCCCUGCUCCCAGGGGAAGGGGAGGCGGGCUUCAGGGGAGUGUCCAUAUGGGCGCCCAGAAACUGGAAACUGCGUCCCUGAAGGCUGCAAGCCCUCUGGGCAGUUCGGGUCACCCCGGCUGAAGAAGGGCGUUGAAGACACAUGGAAAAGGUGGUGGGAGAGGACUGAGUUGAAACCCAGGCCCCGAGUGGAAGAGCCUGCUGGAGGCCACAGGAGCCCGUUCCCCAACCUGAAGCCCUGGAGACGGCCCGGCUUGAGAGGGCGAGGGCCCACAGCGGGGACCCAACUCACUUCUUCGUUCCCACCUGCCCUGGGGUCCGACGGGAAGCGGGGACGGGGAGCGGGUGGGGUCCGACGGGAAGCGAGGACGGGGAGCGGGUGGGGUCAGACGGGAAGCGGGGACGGGGAGCGGGUGGGGUCAGACGGGAAGCGGCGACGGGAUGCUGGUGGGGGGACCCCCGCGCUCUCCGGGCGACCCUCUGCAGCCUCUACUCUGCCCCGUCUGUCAUCUUCUCCCGACCCGGCGACCCCGUUCUCCCCCUCGCCCCUCAUUCCCCGGGACUGUCCUUCUUAACAGCGCCCUUCACCCCGCCCGGCCCGCGAGGUAGUCCUCAGCAGGGGACAAGGUCCGGACGUGGCGCCCCCAGAAGGAGCGCGGAGAGCCCCUGGGACCCAGUCCCGCCAGGUACGCAUCAGGGGCGGAGCUGGACUCGGGGGGCGGGGCUGGGGAGAGGGUGGCCCCUGCACACUAGUCCCCUCCCCUCGACCCCGCAGCCCCGCGGCGCGUUUCCUGAGGCGCCCCCGCCACGUCCCGCGAGUCUCUGCCAAGUUCCCGCGCGGGUGCGCCCCGGUCGCGCCCUCCCUGCGCCCGCCCAGGCCUGGGGAGCUCUGUGGGUGGAAGCCGGCGCCCCCUGGGGGCACCCGGGCGUGGCGAGGGCCUCGGCGGUCGGGAGGCCUCUGCGGGGCAGCGGUCGGGAGCGAGGCCACGGGGCGCCAGGUUGUGAUGUUUUCCUAAUUAGGUAUUGAGAAUUACCAUUGGUAUUUGGAAUUAGAUUGCGGAGCAUUUAGGAACCGUUCUCGCUAUGUUGCCCAGGCUGGUCUUGAACUCCUCAGCUGAAAUGAGCCUCCCACCUCGGCCUCCCAAAGUGCUGGGAUUACAGGCGUCCCCUCUGCCCCAGUACUGUUUCCUCUCCCCAGCCCAGCCCCCACAGCUGCCUGCCCUGGCCUCACUCCCUGGCCUCCCCCAUCCCAGCCUCUGGGUCCCUGAGUCAGUCCCUGGGGCUGUCUGCCUUCUAGGGGAGCCUCUGGUGUGGACCAGAAAGUAACCUAAUCCCUUCCAGGCCCACCCUGGAAACAAAGGGAUUUGUCCACUAGCCUGGUGGUGAGAACCAUGUGGCCUCCUGUCUCUGGCAGAGAGGACUCCAGGAUCAAGGGCAGGUAAAAGGAGGAGCCUCCUGGGGAGCUUCAGAAGGAGGGUCCCAAGUCCCUCCUGCCCCACUUCUGUGCCUGGGUCACUCACACCCCUGCCUGACUCUAGCCCCCCUUCUCCAGGGGUCUCCACAACAUGUGAAUCAUGCCCAGCGUCUUCCAUUACACCCUUGAUAAAGUCCUCUCCUCACCAGGACCUCUGUCAUUUUACCUCAUGGUUUUGAAAUAAUUUUUGGUCUUCUUAGCAGUUUAAAAAUAUUGUUUUGUUUUUUUUCCUGAGUUUGGAGCAUUCCUGUUACUAAUUACAUUUUUUUUUUAGACAGGUGUACACUACUACACCCAGCUAAUUUGUUUUGUUUUGUUUUGUUUUGGUAGAGAUAGGAUCUUGCUAUGGUACCCAGGCUGGUCUUCAACUCCUGGGCUCAAGCAAUCCUCCUGCAUUGGCCUCCCAAAGUGCUGGAAUUACAGGCAUGAGGCAGCACGCCCAGCCCUAAUUACUUCUAUUACGCCAAAUUCCUUGUGUGGAAUUCCUGUGCUUUGCACACAAAUUGCCAGGUUGGCCCCAAAGGGGAAAAAAGUGGAUCCCAUUUUCCCAUCUUCUAUGCCUACGUGGCUGACAAAUCUCCCGAAUCCCACAGGAGCUGUCGCUGAUCUUUGUCCUCUAUUCGCUGAAAUAAAGUUCACCAUGGAUUUCUGCUUCUUUUAUUCAUUGUCAGUCCACACAUAGGGACAAAUUCCUGUGCUCUCAUUAGAAAGCCAUUUGCUAAGUGAGAACUCCGGGGAGGCCAGGCCUGAAGGAGAGCUUGCUGUCAGUCAUUUCGAUCAGGGACGGGGCAGAGUCCAUUGUCACAGGUGGAGCUGCCCAGCCAUUCCCCGCCCCUAGGAAGUCUGGGCUGACUGGGGGAGGGAGUGCUUA
rnacentral:lncRNA from 10 species